CUGUUAUUUUUUGCAUGUUAGGGUACAGGACAAGUACAGUGUGAUCCUUCCUACAACUCUCCCUUUCUACAUACCUGAAAUCACAGUGGGAGGCCUCGAUGCUGACAAAGCAUAUUAUGAAUACAAGGAGCUUCCUGGACGUAAAUACGCCCAAGGCUACAACGCUGAGGUUGGCGACAAAUGGAUCUGGCUGAAAUAAUGGGCUGGUGGAGCUCCUGUUAUCAACCUGCCUUUUGUGGGUGAUGCCCGAAGCUGGACUGACACGGCAAGGUCAUUGUAGAAUGGCUUUGAAAAGAAAGAAGUCUAAAUCUCCUUCCAUGCAAAGUAAUUCUCAACUGAAUCCCGUUAGGAAGUGCUUGGCAUCGCAGGUAGGCAUGGCCCUGGGAAUGUGGCCCUAUCAUCACAAUGGUGGCUGGUCCAGGAGCUUGGCUGGAUUUGGACGAAAUAAAACCCUUUACUC